rnacentral:lncRNA from 1 species
AUGCAUGGUAACAGGGGCUGCAACUCUCAGACACUGCCCAGCAUCUUGAGAGCACACUGCACCUUGUGUGGCUCGCCCAGGAAGUUCGGAGUGCAACUUCUACUGAAUGCCUCUGAGUUUCUACUCUCACACUGUCAUCUGGAGCAGAUGAACUCCAAGCAGUGGAGACCCCUCACUGGUGGAGCACAAGGCAGGAGCAUCUCAGAAACGGCACCCUUGAAGAGCUGCUUCCUGUGCACUUGGGGGUGACACAGAAUGUGGUUCCUAGUUGGUAUCUUUCCAAUUGUCUGUUUCAUUACUCAUUACUUGGAGCCUCUCAUCAUCUCUGGUACUUUUGUGAUAAUUGAAGGCUCUCCAAUCUCAGCCAUUCGUACAAGUAACUUCUGGCAGAAUUUUUCAAGAAUGAUUUCAAGCUUAUUUCAUACCCUCCAGGUGCUGUUAUGAAUGAGGUCAGGGCACACCGCAUGAGUGAUUCCAUUUUGAGGCUGGAUUCAAUGUGGUUAGCACCAACAUUAUCCUGGGAGCCAGAGGCAGCAUUGGAGAUGAGUGGAGUCUGACCCUGUGGGAUAUCAUGACUCUGGGCUGUAAACUUGUUAUCUGUAAGUUUGUUUGCAUCAAAAAAUUUUAAGGCUCAUUUGGUUCUACAAAACCUUAGAUCCCCCUUUACAUAAAGUAUAGAGCUUCUUCAUCCUGGUUCAUCCUUAAGAUUAAAUAUUA